UACGUAGGCAGCGAGCGUUGUUCGGAAUUACUGGUCGUAAAGAGUGUGUAGCCGGUGCUCUAAGUUUGGUGUGAAAUCUCCCGGCUCAACUGGGAGGGUGCAUCGAAAACUGGAGUGCUCGAGGGUGGGAGAGGUAAGCGGAAUUCCUGGUGUAGCGGUGAAAUGCGUAGAUACCAGGAGGAACACCUGUGGCGAAAGCGGCGCACUGGACCACAACUGACGCUGAGGCGCGAAAGCUAGGGGAGCAAACAGG
rnacentral:rRNA from 1 species